GGGUUGUAUAAAUAGGCUAGGGUUUGUGUAUGGUUUGAGGUUUUAUGGCCUCGGUUUGGUUAGGUAAUUUUAGGGUUGGAGGGGGUUUGAGUUAAGGGUUUUUGGCUUGUAAUUGUAGAUGAUGAUUUGUGGUUGUUUAGGGUAAAGUGAUGUGUAUGGUUUCGGAUCAAUGGGAGAUGAGGUGAUUUAGGGAUGGUUGGGUUCGGUUGGGGGUUAUAUGUUAG
rnacentral:lncRNA from 1 species